rnacentral:rRNA from 1 species
UGGGGAAUAUUGCACAAUGGGCGCAAGCCUGAUGCAGCGACGCCGCGUGAGGGAUGGAGGCCUUCGGGUUGUAAACCUCUUUCGCCAGUGAAGCAGGCCAUCUUCUUUGUGGGGUGGUUGACGGUAGCUGGAUAAGAAGCGCCGGCUAACUACGUGCCAGCAGACGCGGUAAUACGUAGGGCGCGAGCGUUGUCCGGAAUUAUUGGGCGUAAAGAGCUCGUAGGCGGCUGGUCGCGUCUGUCGUGAAAUCCCCUGGCUUAACUGGGGGCUUGCGGUGGGUACGGGCCGGCUUGAGUGCGGUAGGGGAGACUGGAAUUCCUGGUGUAGCGGUGGAAUGCGCAGAUAUCGGGAGGAACACCGGUGGCGAAGGCGGGUCUCUGGGCCGUUACUGACGCUGAGGAGCGAAAGCGUGGGGAGCGAACAGG